GACGAACGCUGGCGGCGUGCUUAACACAUGCAAGUCGAACGGAAAGGCCCUGCUUUUGUGGGGUGCUCGAGUGGCGAACGGGUGAGUAACACGUGAGUAACCUGCCCUUGACUUUGGGAUAACUUCAGGAAACUGGGGCUAAUACCGGAUAGGAGCUCCUGCUGCAUGGUGGGGGUUGGAAAGUUUCGGCGGUUGGGGAUGGACUCGCGGCUUAUCAGCUUGUUGGUGGGGUAGUGGCUGACCAAGGCUUUGACGGGUAGCCGGCCUGAGAGGGUGACCGGCCACCUUGGGACUGAGAUACGGCCCAGACUCCUAUGGGAGGCAGCAGUGGGGAAUAUUGCACAAUGGGCGGAAGUCUGAUGCAGCAACGCCGCGUGCGGGAUGACGGCCUUCGGGUUGUAAACCGCUUUCGCCUGUGACGAAGCGUGAGUGACGGUAAUGGGUAAAGAAGCACCGGCUAACUACGUG
rnacentral:rRNA from 1 species